CAGUAGCCGCGGUAAUACGUAGGUGGCAAGCGUUGUCCGGAAUUAUUGGGCGUAAAGGGCUCGCAGGCGGUUUCUUAAGUCUGAUGUGAAAGCCCCCCGCUCAACCGGGGAGGGUCAUUGGAAACUGGGAAACUUGAGUGCAGAAGAGGAGAGUGGAAUUCCACGUGUAGCGGUGAAAUGCGUAGAGAUGUGGAGGAACACCAGUGGCGAAGGCGACUCUCUGGUCUGUAACUGACGCUGAGGAGCGAAAGCGUGGGGAGCGAACAGGAUUAGAUACCCCAGUAGUCCCUGUCUCUUAUAC
rnacentral:rRNA from 1 species